rnacentral:rRNA from 1 species
UACGUAGGGGGCGAGCGUUGUCCGGAUUCAUUGGGCGUAAAGAGCUCGUAGGCGGUCUGUUGCGUCCGCUGUGAAAACUCGGGGCUUAACCCCGAGCCUGCAGUGGAUACGGGCAGACUAGAGGUAGGUAGGGGAGAAUGGAAUUCCCGGUGUAGCGGUGAAAUGCGCAGAUAUCGGGAGGAACACCGGUGGCGAAGGCGGUUCUCUGGGUCUUACCUGACGCUGAGGAGCGAAAGCGUGGGGAGCGAACAGG